AGUGAACGCUGGCGGUAGGCCUAACACAUGCAAGUCGAACGGCAGCACAGGAGAGCUUGCUCUCUGGGUGGCGAGUGGCGGACGGGUGAGGAAUACAUCGGAAUCUACUCUGUCGUGGGGGAUAACGUAGGGAAACUUACGCUAAUACCGCAUACGACCUACGGGUGAAAGCAGGGGACCUUCGGGCCUUACGCGAUUGAAUGAGCCGAUGUCGGAUUAGCUAGUUGGCGGGGUAAAGGCCCACCAAGGCGACGAUCCGUAGCUGGUCUGCGAGGAUGAUCAGCCACACUGGAACUGAGACACGGUCCAGACUCGUACGUGAGGCAGCGGUGGGGAAUAUUGGACAAUGGGCGCAACCCUGAUCCAGCCAUACCGCGUGGGUGAAGAAGGCCUUCGGGUUGUAAAGCCCUUUUGUUGGGAAAGAAAUCCAGCUGGCUAAUACCCGGUUGGGAUGACGGUACCCAAAGAAUAAGCACCGGCUAACUUCGUGCCAGCCGCCGCCGUAA
rnacentral:rRNA from 1 species